rnacentral:rRNA from 1 species
GACGAACGCUGGCGGCGUGCUUAACACAUGCAAGUCGAACGGAAAGGCCCUGCUUUUGUGGGGUGCUCGAGUGGCGAACGGGUGAGUAACACGUGAGUAACCUGCCCUUGACUUUGGGAUAACUUCAAGAAACUGGGGCUAAUACCGGAUAGGAGCUCCUGCUGCAUGGUGGGGGGUGGAAAGUUUCGGCGGUUGGGGAUGGACUCGCGGCUUAUCAGCUUGUUGGGGGGGUAGUGGCUUACCAAGGCUUUGACGGGUAGCCGGCCUGAGAGGGUGACCGGCCACAUUGGGACUGAGAUACGGCCCAGACUCCUACGGGAGGCAGAAGUGGGGAAUAGUGCACAAUGGGCGGAAGCCUGAUGCAGCAACGCCGCGUGCGGGAUGACGGCCUUCGGGUUGUAAACCGCUUUCGCCUGUGACGAAGCGGGAGUGACGGUAAUGGGUAAAGAAGCACCGGCUAACUACGUG